CGUGGCGAGGGCCAGCCGCGGGCGGCGCGAAGCAGGUCCAGGCGGCCUAGCGCGCGGGGGGCAGCGAGCAGCGCAUGGCACGCGGGCGCAAGGAGCAGGGCGGCACACGGAUGGUCUGGGCGCGGCGCCGUCCAGUUGCUCGCCCCGGCUACUCCCACGCCGUGACGGCGAGCUGCAGACAUCUGCGCCGGGUGCUGAUUCCCGUCCUCCUGCUGUCCUGGUACUAGUCUCCUCCUGCCGCACAGCGUCCUCGACUCACCCGCCUCCGGCCACCCUGUAGAGACCCUGCGUGGAUGGAGCCUUCCGAUUCGCUGCUGUCACACACUGAAGACGUUCAGCGUGGUUCGCCAUGGGACCACUCAACUAGAAGGGAGGAACUGCUGGAGUUGAGCGGCUGCACAGGUCAAGAAUUUUGAAGAAGUUACUCAAAGAACAAAAGCAAGCUGGCAGGAUGUAUGAAGUGGCCUCGGUUGCGGCGGCGGCAGCAUUGUUCAGCAUGCGGAUGCGGGGAAUCAGCCAGCGGUGACGGCAUGGAGC